UCCCUGGUGGUCCAGUGGUUAAGACUUUGCCCUUACACUGCAGCGGACAUGGGUUUGAUUCCUGAUCAGGGAC
rnacentral:tRNA from 1 species